rnacentral:rRNA from 1 species
GACGAACGCUGGCGGCGUGCCUAAUACAUGCAAGUCGAACGCAGUGGGGACGGGUGAGUAACACGUGGGUAACCUCCCAUCAGAGGGGAUAACACUUGGAAACCGGUGCUAAACCGAUACUGAUGGAUGGACCCGCGGUGCAUUAGCUAGUUGGUGAGGUAACGGCUCACGAAGGCCACGAUGCAUAGCCGACCUGAGAGGGUGAUCGGCCACACUGGGACUGAGACACGGCCCAGACUCCUACGGGAGGCAGCAGUAGGGAAUCUUGGGCAAUGGGCGAAAGUCUGACGGAGCAACGCCGCGUGAGUGAAGAAGGUUUUCGGGUUGUAAAACACUGUUGUUAGGGAGGCGGUACCGAACGAAAAAGCAACGGCUAACUACGUGCCAGCCGCCGCGGUAAUAC